rnacentral:rRNA from 1 species
GACAGAGGUGCCAAGCGUUAGGCGGAAUCACUGGGCUUAAAGCGUGUGUAGGCGGAUGCCUAAGUACCUUGUGAAAUCCCACGGCUCAACCGUGGAACUGCUUGGUAUACUGGGUGUCUUGAGCCAUCUAGGGGCUACCGGAACAAAUGGUGGAGCGGUGAAAUGCGUAGAUAUCAGUUGGAACGCCAAUGGUGAAAACAGGUAGCUGGGGAUGUGCUGACGCUGAGACACGAAAGCCAGGGGAGCAAACGGG